UACGUAGGGUCCGAGCGUUGUCCGGAAUUACUGGGCGUAAAGAGCUCGUAGGUGGUUUGUCGCGUUGUUCGUGAAAACUCACAGCUCAACUGUGGGCGUGCGGGCGAUACGGGCAGACUAGAGUGCGGUAGGGGAGACUGGAAUUCCUGGUGUAGCGGUGAAAUGCGCAGAUAUCAGGAGGAACACCGGUGGCGAAGGCGGGUCUCUGGGCCGUAACUGACGCUGAGGAGCGAAAGCAUGGGGAGCGAACAGG
rnacentral:rRNA from 1 species